rnacentral:rRNA from 1 species
CUAGCCCUAAACCUAGAUAGUUAUACAACAAAACUAUUCGCCAGAGUACUACUCGCAACAGCCUAAAACUCAAAGGACUUGGCGGUGCUUCACACCCACCUAGAGGAGCCUGUUCUAUAAUCGAUAAACCCCGAUAAACCUUACCAACCCUUGCCAAUUCAGCCUAUAUACCGCCAUCUUCAGCAAACCCUAAAAAGGAAUAAUAGUAAGCACAAUCAUCACACAUAAAGACGUUAGGUCAAGGUGUAGCUUAUGAGUUGGGAAGAAAUGGGCUACAUUCUCUGCAUAAGAGCAUCCAUCUAUACGAAAGUUUUUAUGAAACUAAAAACUAAAGGAGGAUUAGCAGUAAAUCAGGAAUAGAGUGCCUGAUUGAAUAAGGCCAUGAAGCACGC